GGCUUAAUACAUGCAAGUCGAACGGCAGCACAGUCCCGCAGCAAUGCGGGAUGGGUGGCGAGUGGCGCACGGGUGCGUAACACGUAUGCAAUUUACCCAUAACUGGGGGAUAGCCCUCCGAAAGGAGGAUUAAUACCCCAUAAUCCAGUUAGGUGGCAUCACCUUUCUGGUAAAUCUCCGGAGGUUAUGGAUGGGCAUGCGUCCGAUUAGCUAGUUGGUGAGGUAACGGCUCACCAAGGCAACGAUCGGUAGGGGGUCUGAGAGGAUGAUCCCCCACACGGGUACUGAGACACGGACCCGACUCCUACGGGAGGCAGCAGUAAGGAAUAUUGGACAAUGGAGGCAACUCAUAUCCAGCCAUGCUGCGUGAAGGAUGAAGGCGCUACGCGUUGUAAACUUC
rnacentral:rRNA from 1 species